CCAGACUCCUACGGGAGGCAGCAGUGGGGAAUAUUGGGCAAUGGGCGAAAGCCUGACCCAGCAACGCCGCGUGAAGGAAGAAGGCUUUCGGGUUGUAAACUUCUUUUGACAGGGAAGAGCAGAAGACGGUACCUGUCGAAUAAGCCACGGCUAACUACGUGCCAGCAGCCGCGGUAAUACGUAUGGUGCAAGCGUUAUCCGGAUUUACUGGGUGUAAAGGGAGCGUAGGCGGCGCGUUAAGUCUGAUGUGAAAACCCGAGGCUCAACCACGGGAGUGCAUUGGAAACUGGCGGGCUGGAGUGCCGGAGAGGUAAGCGGAAUUCCUAGUGUAGCGGUGAAAUGCGUAGAUAUUAGGAGGAACACCAGUGGCGAAGGCGGCUUACUGGACGGCAACUGACGCUGAGGCUCGAAAGCGUGGGGAGCAAACAGGAUUAGAUACCCCGGUAA
rnacentral:rRNA from 1 species